rnacentral:rRNA from 1 species
GACGAACGCUGGCGGCGUGCUUAACACAUGCAAGUCGAACGGAAAGGCCCCUUUGGGGGUACUCGAGUGGCGAACGGGUGAGUAACACGUGAGUAACCUGCCCUUGACUUCGGGAUAACUUCAGGAAACUGGGGCUAAUACCGGCUAGGAAUCCUUGCUGCAUGGUGGGGGUUGGAAAGCUUCGGCGGUUUUGGAUGGACUCGCGGCUUAUCAGCUUGUUGGUGGGGUAGUGGCUUACCAAGGCUUUGAUGGGUAGCCGGCCUGGGAGGGCGACCGGCCACAUUGGGACUGGGAUACGGCCCAGACUCCUACGGGGGGCAGCAGGGGGGAAUAUUGCACAAUGGGCGGAAGCCUGAUGCAGCAACGCCGCGUGCGGGAUGACGGCCUUCGGGUUGUAAACCGCUUUCAGCAGGGGCGAAGCUUGUGGUGACGGUACCUGCAGAAGAAGCACCGGCUAACUACGUG